rnacentral:rRNA from 1 species
CGAACGGGUGAGUAACACGUGGGCAACCUUUCCUAUCGCGGGGGAUAACACCGGGAAACCGAUGCUAAUACCGCAUGUCGUCACUGAUCGCAUGGUUGGUGAAGAAAGCAGCAAUGCACGAUGGGGUGGGCCCGCGGCCUAUCAGCUAGUCGGUGGGGUAACGGCCUACCGAGGCGAUGACGGGUAGCUGGUCUGAGAGGACGGCCAGCCACACGGGGACUGAGACACGGCCCCG